rnacentral:rRNA from 1 species
GCUUAUGGCCAUACCAGCCUGGCUAUGCCCGAUCUUGUCUGAUCUCGUAAGCUAAGCAGGUUUGGGCCUGGUUAGUGCCUGGAUGGGAGACCGCCUGGAAUACCAGGUACUGUAAGCU